rnacentral:rRNA from 1 species
UACGUAUGUCGCAAGCGUUAUCCGGAUUUAUUGGGCGUAAAGCGCGUCUAGGCGGUUUGGUAAGUCUGAUGUGAAAAUGCGGGGCUCAACUCCGUAUUGCGUUGGAAACUGCCAAACUAGAGUGCUGGAGAGGUGGGCGGAACUACAAGUGUAGAGGUGAAAUUCGUAGAUAUUUGUAGGAAUGCCGAUGGGGAAGCCAGCCCACUGGACAGAUACUGACGCUAAAGCGCGAAAGCGUGGGUAGCAAACAGG